rnacentral:rRNA from 1 species
CACGUAGGCACCAAGCGUUGUCCGGAUUUAUUGGGCGUAAAGAGCUCGUAGGCGGUUCGGUAAGUCGGGUGUGAAAACUUUGGGCUUAACCCAAAGCGUGCAUCCGAUACUGCUGUGACUUGAGUUCGGUAGGGGAGUGGGGAAUUCCUAGUGUAGCGGUGAAAUGCGCAGAUAUCAGGAAGAACACCAAUGGCGAAAGCAGCUCUCUGGGACGGUACUGACGCUGAGACGCGAAAGCGUGGGGAGCGAACAGG